AUCAACUUGUAAUAAUUAAGUUGAGGGGGAUACAACUACACUUCGCUUUGGGUCGACACCGCGAAAGUAGAAUGGCGUUUGCUGUCGAGUCAGUGAAGGACGAGAAACCAAUUGCAACUGCCUGUGAAGCUGCCAGAGCCCGCCUGCUGUGUCAAGACGUGUGCUGACAGACAUCACAGCAGCCUGAAGGUUUCUUUCCCUGGAGGUUCUCUUGGAUUUAGCCCACAGUUAUUCUCAACUGUGUGUUUGCCCACAGAAGCCUUUGUUUGACGAGCCUUUAUGUUAACCAGCUUUAUGAAUUGUGUCAGCAGUUGCUGCGUGUUAUCAGUCAGCUGAUAAGUGGCCUCUUUGAUGCGCUGGCAAUAAAAUGCUCCCCAUGUAGGGCAGAUGAUUUUAAUAGUCAAGCAAACACCCGGUAAUUCAUGACGAUUAUGUUUAUUGGUCCUUGUUUGCCUGCUUCGAU